AUGCAGAGAUGCCAACCCAGGUGGCUGUAGAGGCGCCUGGGAGGGUGGGGCUCCUGCCUGCUCCUCGCUCCUGCCAGCUCCCUGGAACGCAGCACCGCCCUUGGUCCAGCUCCACCUCAGGGCCCCUCUCUGCCUGCCCCUGUGCCCAACUAUGCUGCCCCCACACCAGAAGGCAACUCAGCUCAGCCCCAUCGUGGAGGCUCUCAGGGGCAGGCUCCAGGGACUGUCCAUCACCUCCCCACACCUCUCCACAGUGGCAGUGGGCAAGAGCAAUGACACAGCGCCAGGGUACAGAGUGGCAGAGGCUCCGGGCCCGAGGUGGGUCCCGCCUGGCUGCAGCCGGUGGUACAAUGGCAGCAGCUGCUCGGGAUGGCCCACCACUGCCAUCAGCGGUAAGACAGAAAAGGGCUGUCAACUUUCCUACUGGGUGUUGUUUUGAUGUGGUAAAUGUUCAUUUUUCAGACUGUAUCUCUCUUCCCUUCCUAGCGCACUCAAAACAACUAGCAAUUCAGCUACUUUCUGCCCUUCUGGGUACCUGAUCAUCUCUUUUGUCCAUUUUGUAGUAUCGAAGUCACUGGGCUGGGGAUUUUGACACCAGCCAAACUUAAAUUUGAAUCCUGACUCCUCAACUUUCCAGCUGUGUUAUCUUAGACACAUCAGACAACCUUUCUAUACAGCUCAGUUUUCUCAUCUGCAAAAUGGGAAGAGUAAUAGCCAUGUUUCAAGGUGACUAAGAAAAUAGAAACAACACAUAUAACAUUCUUAGUCAUAUCUGACACCCAGUAGGCACCUGUCACCUUAUCUUCCUUCUCUUGAAUCUUCUUCUUGCCCACUUCUAACUCCCUAUGCCUGAUUAUUGAGCCCUCCCUGGGGCCCUUGGUGAGAUGAUCACUAACACAAUCAAUGGCUAAUAUGAGCCUGUAAGAAAGCGUCCCUGGGAAACAAUCAAAUUUCUGAACUAAGAUUCUUCUUCCAGGUCUUAUAAACUCUUGGGCUUUUGGACAUUCCAGUAAAAACAAUAGACUACUACUAGAUAUAUUUGCUAAUUUAAUAAAGUUGGCCACAUAUUAAGGUGCAUGUGUGUGAGCUUGGAUAGUCACAGAAUAUCUCCAGUAGAUGCACCAAAAAACUUGCUUGCUAUAUAAAGCAAAAGAACAAGUAGUAUCUGAACCUAAUGGGCAGAAAACACACCAUCUGUCAGCAGUCAAAUAUCAGGCUCAAACAUAUAAAGCAAGAGAGGAAAAUACCCCCCAAUUGCUGCCCUGUCCAAUGUGGGUUAAAUUAUAUAUAUUAUUAAAAUUAAUUUCAUUGAUUUCUUUUUACUUUUUAAAAGGUGGUUACUAGAAAAUUUUAAAUUGCCUCUGUGGCUCGCAUCUUAUUUCCACCAGGCAGUACUGCUCUAGAAUAAAAUCUAAACUUUACCUAGACCUGACCCUUAAGUCUUCAGUACCUUAGAAACAUAAAGACAUAAAGUGACUAAAUUCAAGUCUGGAAAUAGGGACUUUACUAUAUACCUACUAAGAGUACAAAGAUUAAUAAUGCAGAGUUCUUGUCUUUAAGAAAAAGAAAGUGAACUGAGAUUCAUAGAACCCUACUUUGAGCCAGGAUGUGAACAUCCCUGCAAGUUAGUAUUAUAAUUUCCUCUGUAUAACUCACUUCUAGCCUUUAAUGCCUCCUCCAUUCAGGACCCAAAAGCCUUCCUGAAACUAAUAUAAGCACAGACAUUCUCUUCUCCAUGGCCUUCUUUACACUCUUAGUCUUAAGUAUCCUCUUUCCAACUCUAGCCUGUAACUACCCUAAAAAAAAAAAAAAAA